rnacentral:lncRNA from 1 species
GGCUGAUCUGAAUUCUUUCUUUAAAUCUUUAAAAUAUUUUCAGAGAUUGAAGAUAGAUUUCUAGAGGAGAUGAAAAGGUGAAAGAAAGAUGGAGAAGAAAAUAAUUUUUUUCAUAUUUUUUCUCUCUUUCCAAACCCAAAAGAAUAAAACCCUAGAAACUAGGUUUUACGCUAACCCAAGAGAAGAGGACUCUCCUCUUCUUUUUCAUGCCCUGAACCCAUGCCCAACUCCUUUCACAUGAAGACCCUU